UUACGGGGUGCUACGGUACUCAUGGCAAUUAUGAAAGUAAGACUAAACAAUCUCGUCAAUAUCCUGGGGUAGUAGAAUCAGUUUUCACCCCCUACGGUCAGAAAUCCUGACUAGCCCACUUCUAAAUCAAGCACGUAGGCUAGGAAAACAUGAGCAUGCUUUAUUUGAAUGCACUACAUAAGUCUACAAAGACAGAACGAGUGAAAAAUCUCAUACCCUACCAACACUAAUAGAGUUACCAAAUACGUUGCCUCUAUGGUUAUUACACAUUAUAGGACAACCUUACACCCUUUAAAUACACACUAUGUCACAUGACUUAUGCAUAUGGUGAAGAUAUGUAAAACACAAAACGAGUUUAAAACCCAUAAAUAAAUGGUGAGGAUCAAGACUUAUUCUUCCUAUUCGACCUAGCAUCAUCGCCAUGGUUGCCCAUCAAUGAAGCCCUCCUUGACAUGAUGAUCAAUUGUAGAAUCUCAGUGUGUACUGGCGCCUUUUACUGUCGGUCUGAGGAAAAAUAAGGGGACAAUGCUAAUCACUGAGUUAGGGUCUUUUACCCGGAGUCAAUCUACAGUGCAAAUAAUCAUAUAACAAAUAACCCAUAAUGUAACACAUAAGGCUUCCUACAACUCCACUAAUUUCUUUCAUAUUAUAAUUGGGAUCUGGGCACACAUAGGUGGAACCUAUCCGGGGCCGUAAACUCAUAGCAUAGGGAAUACCCAUUAUGGGCCAUAUACUCGUAGAAUAAAUUGUACUGGUUAGGGGCCAUAUACAUGUAGCGAAAGUGCAAUAUGCACACACAUAGAUCGCCAUUAUACAUGCCAUAAUCUAGGUGAUCAAGAAUUUACCCAUUUACUUCCUUUAGAAUAAUUAUCUAUGUGAAUACUCAUUAAGUAAGAUAAGGCCACAACAUAUAUCAUGCGAAAGAUGAUAGCAAGACAAAAAAAUGUAUGUCAUUUCAUGUCCACCAUAAGACACAAAUACAAUAACCAAAAUGAAAUAAAUGCAUAGGGCCACACUCCUAGCAUGCAUGUAUAUGGCAGGUAAAACUAGAAAUAGACACGUAAAGGAACGUCUAACCCUGUCGGAUAUAUAGGAGACCCUCACUGAAAAAGUCUAGCAAAAAACCGGUAUGAGUCUUCGGGUCGAAGCCCCUCUCAACUUUUGCAUUCUCUAAUCCCACCAGAAUGCACAAUUCUCACCUCUCAAGCUUAGCUACGUACCAACAGAUGUGUUCAUCUUUCAGUGUAAAACUAAUGAUUUUUUAUAGUCAAGUCUUAUUGUCUUUUUCCUCUUAGCAAUUAAGAGAAAAAAU
rnacentral:lncRNA from 1 species